rnacentral:rRNA from 1 species
GUUGAGUUUGAUCCUGGCUCUGAGCGAACGCUUGAAGUAUGCUUAAUACAUGCAAGUCUAGGAUUUUUAUAUACAAAGGUUUUAGGCGGACGGGUGAGUAUAAAGUACAUAUUGCCUUUUUUUAAAAAUUAGAUAUUUGUACUUAGGUUUUAGAUAAGAGUUGUUCUUGUCAACGAUAUCUAGCUGGAUUGAAAGAUUGAUCAGCCACAUUGGCACUGAGAUAAGGGCCAAACUUCUUUGAAGGCAGCAGUAGGGAAUACUGGACAAUGAACGAAAGUUUGAUCCGACAAUACUUCGUGAGUGACUUGACGGUUUACCGUAAAGCUCUUAUAUGAUGAGGAUAAUGACAGUAAUCAUAGAAUAAGCACCGGCUAACCUCGUGCCAGCAGCCGCGGUAAUACGGGGGGUGCAAGCGUUGCUCUAAUGAACUCGGCGUAAAGGGAGCGUAGGUGGCUUUUAGUAACAGAAGGAGUUCCAUUUUAAUGCAUUCUUGUUCUGUAUAGAAAAGCUUGAGUUAUUUAACAUGGUUGUAGUACCUUUUUCGUAAAGAUGAAAUUUUGUGAUUAUCUAGGGAAUACCAACGUUGAAAAAAGCAGCCUGUAUAUAACUGACGCUGAGGCUCGAAAGUAUAGGAAUCGAAGGGGAUUAGAUACCCCCGUAGUCUAUACCGUAAACGAUGCAUAUUUGUAUGAAUUAAUUAGUACGUCAUUAACGUUUUAAUAUGCCGCCUGAGGAGUACGAUCGCAAGGUUGAAACUUAAAGGAAUUGACGGGGCUGAACACAAGUGGUGGAGCAUGUGGUUUAAUUCGAUGAUCCGCGCAUAACCUUACCAAUAUUUGAAUAUUAAUUAAGAGUACUUUAACGUGCUUAUUUAUUUUUACAGGUGCUGCAUGGCUGUCGUCAGCUCGUGUCUUGAGAUGUCAAGUUAAUUCUUGAAACGAGCGCAACCUUCGGUCUUUGUUAAGAAUAUCUUUUGGAUUUAGACAAAGGCGAUUUAUGGCUUAUCUUUUGAAGAUGCCGGACCGAAAUGGAGAUCACGCCAAGUCCUCAUGACCUCUAUAUAUUGGGCUACUUUCAUGUGCUACAAGGAAAUCUACAAAAAUAAAAAUAAAAGAUUUCUAAGUUUGGAUUGUUUUCUGCAACUCGAAAACAUAAAAGUGGAAUCACUAGUAAUCGUAUAUCAGCAUGAUACGGUGAAUAUGUGCCUUUGGCUUGUACAUACCGCCCGUCACGCUUGGAGAGUUUGAUUGAUUUGAACGUGUGUUUCUCGAUUUAGAUAUGCUAUUUUUUCUGCUUCUGGAGUAUACGUAUGAGAUUUUGGAUGAUCGAAGCGAAGUCGUAACAAGGUUACCGUAGAGGAAUCUGUGGUUG